CUACGGGUGGCUCCAGUGAGGAAUAUUGCACAAUGGGGGGAACCCUGAUGCAGCAACGCCGCGUGGAGGAUGACGCAUUUCGGUGUGUAAACUCCUUUUAUAUGUCAAGAAAAUGACGGUAUCAUAUGAAUAAGCACCGGCUAACUCCGUGCCAGCAGCCGCGGUAAUACGGAGGGUGCAAGCGUUACUCGGAAUCACUGGGCGUAAAGGACGCGUAGGCGGGUUGGAAAGUCAGGUGUGAAAUCCUACAGCUUAACUGUAGAACUGCACUUGAAACUGCUAAUCUAGAGUAUGGGAGGGGGAGAUGGAAUUAGUGGUGUAGGGGUAAAAUCCGUAGAUAUCACUAGGAAUACCUAAAGCGAAGGCGAUCUCCUGGAACAUUACUGACGCUAAGGCGUGAAAGCGUGGGGAGCAAACAGGAUUAGAUACCCCUGUAGUC
rnacentral:rRNA from 1 species